UUGAAACUAUUGGUGCAUUUGGUUUUCUCAAAAUAAGACUUUGUUUGUUAACACAAAUUUCAGGCUUGAUAAUUAGGUAAAUGAAAUACUAUGUUUCUAACCUUCCUUUCUUAUGUUUUAGUUAUUGCUUCAGUGGCCAUUCUGUAUUCAUUUCAAAGUGCUAUAGACAUAUCUGGUACGACUCGUUGUGCUGUAGAUGUGCAAGCUCAGAUGACUUCUGGUGAACGAAUUCUGGCCUACACUGAAAUUAAACCUGAGAAGGGACACGAGAUCAAUGAACAACCACCCAAAGAUUGGCCAGAGGCAGGGAAAAUAGAGUUCAAGAAUGUUUCGUUGCGAUAUUAUGAAAAUGGCCCUAAAGCUUUGAAAGAUUUAUCAUUUCAGAUAAAUCCUUCUGAAAAGAUUGGUGUUGCAGGAAGGACAGGUGCUGGUAAAUCUUCUCUGGUUGCAGCGCUCAUGAGAAUUGUCGAAACUGAAGGGGAUAUUAUUGUUGAUAAUGUG